UACGGAGGGUGCGAGCGUUAAUCGGAAUUACUGGGCGUAAAGCGCGCGUAGGCGGUCAGGCAAGUCGGGUGUGAAAGCCCUGGGCUCAACCUGGGAAUUGCAUUCGAAACUAUCUGACUCGAGUAUGGGAGAGGGAAGCGGAAUUUCCGGUGUAGCGGUGAAAUUCGUAGAUAUCGGGAGGAACACCAGUGGCGAAGGCGGCGAUCUGGGAACAUACUGACGCUGAGGUGCGAAAGCGUGGGGAGCAAACAGG
rnacentral:rRNA from 1 species